rnacentral:rRNA from 1 species
AAGCAUAUCAAUAAGCGGAGGAAAAGAAACCAACAGGGAUUGCCUUAGUAACUGCGAGUGAAGCGGCAAAAGCUCAAAUUUGAAAUCUGGGGCCUCACAGCCUCCGAAUUGUAAUUUCACGAUACGUUUUCGACUGAAGGCUCUGCUUUAAGUUCCUUGGAACAGGACGUCACAGAGGGUGAGAAUCCCGUGAUAGGUGGAGCCUGAUGCAUAUGAUACGUAUUCAACGAGUCGAGUUGUUUGGGAAUGCAGCUCAAAAUGGGAGGUAAAUUUCUUCUAAAGCUAAAUAUUGGCGAGAGACCGAUAGCGCACAAGUAGAGUGAUCGAAAGAUGAAAAGCACUUUGAAAAGAGAGUUAAAAAGUACGUGAAAUUGUUGAAAGGGAAGCGCUUGAGACCAGACUCAAUCUGUAGUGAUCAAUUUGGCUUCUGUCAGAUGCACUUGCUACUUAUUGGGACAGCAUCGGUUUUGGCGGUGGGAUAAAGUCUUGAGGAAUGUAGCUAUCUUCGGGUAGUGUUAUAGCCUCUUGAGUAAUGCCACCAGCUGGGACCGAGGACCGCGCCGCAAGGCUAGGAUGCUGUCAUAAUGGUCUUCAGCGACCCGUCUUGAAACACGGACCAAGGAGUCUAACAUCUAUGCGAGUGUUCGGGUGGAAAACCCUUGCGCGUAAUGAAAGUGAACGGAGGUGGGAACCUUAGGGUGCACCAUCGACCGAUCCUGAUGUCUUCGGAAGGAUUUGAGUAUGAGCAUAGCUGUUGGGACCCGAAAGAUGGUGAACUAUGCCUGAAUAGGGUGAAGCCAGAGGAAACUCUGGUGGAGGCUCGCAGCGGUUCUGACGUGCAAAUCGAUCGUCAAAUUUGGGUAUAGGGGCGAAAGACUAAUCGAACCAUCUAGUAGC